rnacentral:rRNA from 1 species
GACAGAGGGUGCAAACGUUGUUCGGAAUUACUGGGCGUAAAGCGUGUGUAGGCGGCCUCGUAAGUCAGGUGUGAAAGCCCCAGGCUCAACCUGGGAAGUGCACUUGAUACUGCGUGGCUUGAGUAUCGGAGAGGUUGGUGGAAUUCUCGGUGUAGAGGUGAAAUUCGUAGAUAUCGAGAGGAACACCGGUGGCGAAGGCGGCCAACUGGACGAAUACUGACGCUGAGACACGAAAGCGUGGGGAGCAAACAGG